GUUGUAGUUAAAAAGCUCGUAGUUGGACUUUGGGUUGGGUCAGCCGAUUCACCUAUAAGUGUGCACUAGUUUACUCGUCCCAUCAGUUAGCGAUGCCCUUCUACCGUAGAUUUGGCAAGUCGUGCCUCCGGCGUUGUUAUCUUGAAGAAAUUAGAGUGCUUAAAGCAAGCAUGUCACUCUGUAUACAUGAGUAUGGGGUAACCUCAUAGGAUUUUGGUCCUAUUACGUUGGCCUUUGGGAUAGGAGUAAUGAUUACCAGGGACAGUCAAGAACAUGUGUAUUCUAUAGUCAAAGGUGGAAUUCUUCAAUUUAUGAAAGACAAACAACUAUGAAAGUAUUUGCCAAGGAUGUUUUUUAUUAACAUAUAGAAUAAAAGUUGGGGGGCCGAAGAUGAAUAUAUACCAUUUUUGUCUCAACCAUAAAUGACGAUGACUAAGGAUCAGUGGAUGUUACUUUUAGUACUCCAUUGGCACCUUAUGAGAAAUCAAAGUUUAUAACUCCGCUGGCACCUUAUGAGAAAUCAAAGUUUUUGAAAGACUAUGAUGAGCUCUUUCUUGAGUCCAAGGGUGGUGGUGCAUAGUCGUUCUUAGUUGGUGGAGAGAUUUGUUUGGUUAAAUUCAUUAAUGAAUGAGACCUCAGCAUGCUAACUAGCCAUGUGAAGGUAUCCCUCCAUGGCCGGCUUCUUAGGGGACUAGGGGAGUUUUAUACCACGGAGGUUUGAGUUAAUAAUUGGUCUGUGAUGCCUUUAGAUGUUAUAGGACGCAUG
rnacentral:lncRNA from 1 species